rnacentral:rRNA from 5 species
AAAAAGAACCUGAAACCGUGUACGUACAAGCAGUGGGAGCACAGGUUUACCUGUGUGACUGCGUACCUUUUGUAUAAUGGGUCAGCGACUUAUAUUCUGUAGCAAGGUUAACCGAAUAGGGGAGCCGUAGGGAAACCGAGUCUUAACCGGGCGUUAAGUUGCAGGGUAUAGACCCGAAACCCGGUGAUCUAGCCAUGGGCAGGUUGAAGGUUGGGUAACACUAACUGGAGGACCGAACCGAC